rnacentral:rRNA from 1 species
UCUGGUUGAUCCUGCCAGUAGUCAUAUGCUUGUCUCAGAGAUUAAGCCAUGCAUGUCUAAGUACAAAAAUUCAAACGGUGAAACCGCGAAUGGCUCAAUAAAUCAGCUAUGGUUCCUUGGAUCGUACAUACUACAUGGAUAACUGUGGUAAUUCUAGAGCCAAUACAUGCCACUAUGCCCUGACCCGCAAGGGAACGGGUGGAUUUAUUAGAACAGAACCAACUGGCGGUGACUUCGGUUGCUGUCGUUGCAUUCUGUGAUGACUCUGGAUAACUUUACUGAUCGCAGUCGGCCUUGUGUCGGCGACGGAUCUUUCAAAUGUCUGCCCUAUCAAUUUUCGAUGGCGGGUGACCUGCCUACCAUGGUGAUAACGGGUAACGAGGAAUCAGGGUUCGAUUCCGGAGAGGGAGCCUGAGAAACGGCUACCACUUCCAAGGAAGGCAGCAGGCGCGCAAAUUACCCAAUCCCGGCACGGGGAGGUAGUGACGAAAAAUACGGAUACGGCUCCGUAAUUCGAUGAGUACAAUUUAAAUCCCUUAACCAGGAUCAAUUGGAGGGCAAGUCUGGUGCCAGCAGCCGCGGUAAAUCCUGCUCCAGAAGCGUAUAUUAAAAUUGUUGCAGUUAAAAAGCUCGUAGUUGGAUCUGGGUCGCAUGGCUACAUGCCGUUGCUCGUAUUCCUGGCCUGGUUCACACCGGGACGGGUUUGUGAGUCGGUGUGGUGGUUGUGCAGCCUUUCUGCCAUUGAGCUGCAAUAGUUGCAAGAGCAACCAUCUUCUUACUGGGUUUUCUUUGUUGUGGUGGGAAACAUGUGCAAACAUUUCAUUUUGGGUUGCACUCUGACGUAAUAGUGAGUCAGACUGUUUUACACCAUGACGACAGCGUUUACUAGGUAUAAUACGAGGAUUCUGCUCACAAAAGAAUGUGUGACUCGCAAUUG